GACGAACGCUGGCGGCAGGCUUAACACAUGCAAGUCGAACGAACUCUUCGGAGUGAGUGGCAGACGGGUGCGUAACACGUGGGAACCUACCUUAAGGUACGGAACAACACCGAGAAAUUGGUGCUAAUACCGUAUGUGCCCUUCGGGGGAAAGAUUUAUCGCCUUAAGAUGGGCCCGCGGCAGAUUAGAUAGUUGGUGGGGUAAUGGCUUACCAAGUCUACGAUCUGUAGCUGGUCUGAGAGGAUGACCAGCCACACUGGAACUGAGACACGGUCCAGACUCCUACGGGAGGCAGCAGUGGGGAAUAUUGGGCAAUGGGCGAAAGCCUGACCCAGCCAUGCCGCGUGAGUGAUGAAGGCCUUAGGGUUGUAAAACUCUUUCGCCGGUGAAGAUAAUGACGGUAACCGGUAAAGAAGCCCCGGCUAAUUUCG
rnacentral:rRNA from 1 species